AGAUCCAAGAUGAAACAGAUCGUAUAACUGGGAAGUCUAAGCAAAUCUCUAAUAUUCCAAUUCACUUGAGCAUACAUUCUCCAAAUGUUGUAAACUUAACACUAAUAGAUCUGCCUGGGUUGACAAAGGUUGCCGUGGAAGGACAGCCAGAGACUAUUGUUGAAGAUUUUGAUAACAUGGUCCCUUCUUAUGUUGAGAAG